rnacentral:lncRNA from 1 species
CUUCAUCCUCUUCUGUGGUGAGCUGGUUCCAACUGAGCCUUACCUGCCUCAGCAAGGGCCUGCUCUUCCUUUCCUUGGGUUGCUUUCCCAGUCCUGGACUUCACAGACCUGUCUUCUCCCUCCUUUCAACUCUGUUUGCAUAUGUUCUGUCCGUGUGUUUUUGCUUUAUGUUUUCAGAGGUUGCCUUGACUUGAUUCUACAUCACUCACCUGGUCUAGAGCCAGGGCCUCCUGCUGAAUGUUUCCUGUGCAGUCAUGUCUUACCAGGCAUUUUCUUUUUCUCUGGAGUCUCCUGCGGAGGCAGUGAAGGCUCGAGAGAAAGCAGAAACUGAAAAUAGACGUGGAUAACUUCAGGAAUACAGUUGGCAACACUUGUUGAUGGGUUGGAUUUUGGGGCAGGAGACAAA